rnacentral:rRNA from 1 species
GAAAUGCGAUAAGUAAUGUGAAUUGCAGAAUUCAGUGAAUCAUCGAAUCUUUGAACGCACCUUGCGCCCUCUGGUAUUCCGGAGGGCAUGCCUGUUUGAGUGUCAUUUAAUUCUCAAUCCCUCAACAAUUAGUUUUGAUGGGGGCUUUAUUGGAUUGUUGGAGGUGUUGCUGGCCCUUAUUGGGUCAGCUCCUCUUAAAUGCAUUAGCAAGGGAAAUCUCUUCUUUGCCCAUUGGUGUGAUAAACUAAUUUCCGCCAUUACAAAAAGAGUUUAUUUUUGCCCUGGCUUAUAAAACAAACAUUUAUUUCUGAUAAAUUUGACCUCAAAUCAGGUAGGACUACCCGCUGAACUUAAGCAUAUCAAUAAGCGGAGGAAAAGAAACUAACAAGGAUUCCCCUAGUAAC